AUUGAACGCUGGCGGCAUGCCUUACACAUGCAAGUCGAACGAAGGCUUCGGCCUUAGUGGCGCACGGGUGCGUAACGCGUGGGAAUCUGCCCUUGGGUUCGGAAUAACAGUUGGAAACGACUGCUAAUACCGGAUGAUGUCGUAAGACCAAAGAUUUAUCGCCCAGGGAUGAGCCCGCGUCGGAUUAGGUAGUUGGUGGGGUAAAGGCCUACCAAGCCGACGAUCCGUAGCUGGUCUGAGAGGAUGAUCAGCCACACUGGGACUGAGACACGGCCCAGACUCCUACGGGAGGCAGCAGUGGGGAAUAUUGGACAAUGGGCGAAAGCCUGAUCCAGCAAUGCCGCGUGAGUGAUGAAGGCCUUAGGGUUGUAAAGCUCUUUUACCCGGGAUGAUAAUGACAGUACCGGGAGAAUAAGCUCCGGCUAACUCCGUGCCAGCAGCCGCGGUAACAC
rnacentral:rRNA from 1 species